UGGGGAAUUUUGGACAAUGGGGGCAACCCUGAUCCAGCAAUGCCGCGUGUGUGAAGAAGGCCUUCGGGUUGUAAAGCACUUUUGUCCGGAAAGAAAACGCCGUGGUUAAUACCCGUGGCGGAUGACGGUACCGGAAGAAUAAGCACCGGCUAACUACGUGCCAGCAGCCGCGGUAAUACGUAGGGUGCAAGCGUUAAUCGGAAUUACUGGGCGUAAAGCGUGCGCAGGCGGUCCGCUAAGACAGAUGUGAAAUCCCCGGGCUUAACCUGGGAACUGCAUUUGUGACUGGCGGGCUAGAGUAUGGCAGAGGGGGGUAGAAUUCCACGUGUAGCAGUGAAAUGCGUAGAGAUGUGGAGGAAUACCGAUGGCGAAGGCAGCCCCCUGGGCCAAUACUGACGCUCAUGCACGAAAGCGUGGGGGAGCAAACAGGAUUCAGAUACCCUGGUAGUCCACGCCCUAAACGAUGUCAACUA
rnacentral:rRNA from 1 species